AAAGUUCGUCAAACUCGGUCAUUUAGAGAAGUAAAAGUCGUACAAGGUUUCC
rnacentral:rRNA from 1 species